AAUAAGCGGAGGAAAAGAAACCAACAGGGAUUACCUUAGUAACGGCGAGUGAAGCGGUAAGAGCUCAAAUUUGAAAUCUAGCACUUUCAGUGUUCGAGUUGUAAUUUGAAGAAGGUAACUUUGGAGUUGGCCCUUGUCUAUGUUCCUUGGAACAGGACGUCACAGAGGGUGAGAAUCCCGUGCGAUGGGGUGUCCAACUCUAUGUAAAGUGCUUUCGAAGAGUCGAGUUGUUUGGGAAUGCAGCUCUAAGUGGGUGGUAAAUUCCAUCUAAAGCUAAAUAUUGGCGAGAGACCGAUAGCGAACAAGUACAGUGAUGGAAAGAUGAAAAGAACUUUGAAAAGAGAGUGAAAAAGUACGUGAAAUUGUUGAAAGGGAAGGGCUUUAGAUCAGACUUGGUGUUUAGUACUCUUCACUCCUUGUGGGUGGGGCUCUUGCUUUAUACUGGGCCAGCAUCGGUUUGGAUGGUAGGAUAAUAGCAUUGGAACGUGGCUUCGCUUCGGUGGAGUGUUAUAGCCUUUGUUGAUACUACCUAUCUAGACCGAGGACUGCGUCUU
rnacentral:rRNA from 1 species